UGCGCUGCACGCAUUCCGCCAUAUUGUUUACUCUCAUCGCUUUCAUCCCGUACAUCCCGUACACGAAGUAGGUAUAUAUCUAUACUUCGUGAUCCCGUAGGUCAGUCAGUCCGUAAAUCGAGUGUAGUGUGUGCGUACCUGGCGUAAAACAAUACUUUCCAUUAUAUCAAAUUCAAGAAGUGCAGAGAAAUUAGUCCAGCAUAAAAGUAAUUUUGAGCAUUUUGUGUUAAAUUCACGUCAGUUGAUGUGUCCCCCUUGUCCAUUUCCAGUCGUCUGCAUGCUCACUGCGAUAAAAGAAAUUGGAGCUUAAGGAACUCCUUGAUGCAAUACUACGGUGGAACAUACACUGGAGAAUCGCCUGACAUUCGAUGUGAUGUCAUCUCACUGGCUUUGCUACGACAUCAACCCCAAGGGACACCAAGUGGACUAUUGCUUGAAGACCACCUUAGUUUCAACGGGAUUCGAUACCUCUAUAAUUUGUUGCUCGUCUUGCAAUCAUUUGCGCCCACACAUCCUUUUUCAAACCAGUACAAAUAAUGCGCACAUGGAAGGGUACAAGAGAAACUUCCCGAUUUUUAAACCACGAACGCAUUCUUUUAGUUCACUUAUAAUUAGAAUUGUAUAUAUUUAGGGACCUUUGACAAUCAAUUUGAUGAAUGCUUGUGGAAUAAUAUGCAAUGUAAACUCUUUAUAACGAUACUUAUAAAGAUUAGCUGAUUUAAGGACGGAUUUUACCCAUACAAUAGAUAGAAUAAACCUUCUUGUACAUAUUUUUACGUCAUUAUAAAAAAGGUUAUCAAGAGUUUACAUUUUAUUACACAUUUAAACGCCUCACAUUCCUGGUCGUGUUUAUAGGACGAGUUUGCGUUUUAUUUGUUGGUAAUGCGGAUAAGGGUAUUUGCCGCACUGUUGUUGUCUAGCUUUAACUCUCGAAGGGGGCGUUCCUAGGGAUGUUAAAUUAAAUUCUCCGUCGUGUUGUAUUAGUUUGUUGCAGGAGCGACGCCUGCAACAUUGGUAAAUUUGAAAAUUGGGUGGUUAAGUGGAAUUUUCACAUGAAGAGUGAAAUUGUUGGAGUUUUUUCGGAAUAGCUUGCGAGGGAGGCGGGAAAUUUCCGCGCGGUCUCUAGUGAUGUCAAAUUAAAUUCUCCGUGGGGUUGUAUUAGUUUGUCAUAGAAGUUGCGUUUGCAACAUAUCUAACGUCGAAAAUUAGGUGGUUAAGUUGGAUUUUCACAUGUGGGGGAAAAUUGUUGGGGUUUUUGGAUAUAGCUUGCGAAGGGAGCGACCUAGAAUUUUCAACACGGUAUCUGUUAGAGAAGCUUCAACAACAGUGCGCGUAAUCCUAGAUUUGUGUACGUGCGUGUCAUACUCUGGAGCACAUUUCCUUGAGUGCUAUUUGUGAUAUGUAAUUAUGUAUGUAUAACUUGAGAACUCCUUUUAUUGUGUAUAUGACGUUACUGUAAGAAUAUUUGGGUUGUGGUGCUAAUGUUGUGCAACAUUUUUAACUUAUAAAUGUAUUUUCACUGAGGGCGUUUUUAGACGAAACAAUUGUAGAUCCUUUAAUCAAAUCCAGUGCAAAUAGACUAAAAACGCUCUCAGUAAAAAUACAUUUAUGAUUUUACUGUAUUGUCUUAUGUAUUAAUGUGUACAUACAUUUUGUUGUACUGUCCUCGUAGAAUUCGUUUUUAUAUGUAAAUGUUUUGUAUUGUAGUGUAGUUGUUUGUGUUUUAAUGUUUGCUUGCACCUUGUGUUGUGUGUUUUAAUUAGUAUAAAUAAACAACGUUGAUACCUGUUGAAGAAGUUUAGGAGCACUUGUGCCAAGGAGUCUACCGUUUCCAUCGCAGAAAUGUUACUGAUGUGCGUCUUACAAGGCAAGUUUUACUAUCUGGAGAUUUAAGAACUGUCUAUGAUUUUCAAUUUAAAUAAAUGUAUGUAGUUUUUAAUGUUGCUAAUAAAACAUAAUGUAAUACUAUAUAA